ensembl:piRNA 21ur-3879 ncRNA
UGCUACUUUCACAACAAAACC